CCUACGGGUGGCAGCAGUGAGGAAUAUUGGUCAAUGGGCGAGAGCCUGAACCAGCCAAGUCGCGUGAAGGAUGACGGCCCUACGGGUUGUAAACCUCUUUUGUCAGGGAGCAAUUGGGUCCACGUGUGGGCUUAGCGAGAGUACCUGAAGAAAAAGCAUCGGCUAACUCCGUGCCAGCAGCCGCGGUAAUACGGAGGAUGCGAGCGUUAUCCGGAUUUAUUGGGUUUAAGGGGUGCGUAGACGGCACGCCAAGUCAGAGGGAAAAUCGCUGGGCUAAACCGCGGUCUGCCGUGGAAACUGGUGAGCUAGAGUGGGCGAGAAGUAUGCGGAAUGCGUGGUGUAGCGGUGAAAUGCAUAGAUAUUACGAAGAACACCGGUGGCGAAGGCGGCAUACUGG
rnacentral:rRNA from 1 species